rnacentral:rRNA from 1 species
UACAGAGGUCUCAAGCGUUGUUCGGAUUCAUUGGGCGUAAAGGGUGCGUAGGCGGCCCGGUAAGUCGGGUGUGAAAUCUCGGAGCUUAACUCCGAAACUGCAUUCGGUACUGCCGUGCUUGAGGACUGGAGAGGAGACUGGAAUUUACGGUGUAGCGGUGAAAUGCGUAGAUAUCGUAAGGAAGACCAGUGGCGAAGGCGGGUCUCUGGACAGUUCCUGACGCUGAUGCACGAAGGCCAGGGGAGUAAACGGG